rnacentral:rRNA from 1 species
UACAGAGGUCUCAAGCGUUGUUCGGAUUCAUUGGGCGUAAAGGGUGCGUAGGUGGCGGGGUAAGUCAGGUGUGAAAUCUCGGGGCUCAACCCCAAAACUGCACUUGAUACUGCCUUGCUCGAGUACUGGAGAGGAGAUUGGAAUUUACGGUGUAGCAGUGAAAUGCGUAGAUAUCGUAAGGAAGACCAGUGGCGAAGGCGAAUCUCUGGACAGUUACUGACACUGAGGCACGAAGGCCAGGGGAGCAAACGGG